rnacentral:rRNA from 1 species
AUACGUAGGGGGCGAGCGUUGUCCGGAAUUACUGGGCGUAAAGGGCGUGUAGGCGGCCUGAUAAGUCAGGUGUGAAAUUCCAAGGCUUAACCUUGGAGCUGCACUUGAAACUGUUGGGCUUGAGGGCAGGAGAGGGAAGCGGAAUUCCCAGUGUAGCGGUGAAAUGCGUAGAUAUUGGGAGGAACACCAGUGGCGAAGGCGGCUUCCUGGACUGCACCUGACGCUGAGGCGCGAAAGCUAGGGGAGCGAACGGGAUUAGAUACCCCGGUAGUCCUAGCCGUAAACGAUGGGUACUAGGUGUGGGAGGUAUCGACCCCUUCCGUGCCGCAGUUAACGCAAUAAGUACCCCGCCUGGGGAGUACGGCCGCAAGGCUGAA